rnacentral:rRNA from 1 species
GUCGAGCGGAAACGAGAAUAGCUUGCUGUUCGGCGUCGAGCGGCGGACGGGUGAGUAAUGCUUGGGAACAUGCCUUGAGGUGGGGGACAACAGUUGGAAACGACUGCUAAUACCGCAUAAUGUCUUCGGACCAAAGGAGGGGAUCUUCGGACCUUUCGCCUUUAGAGUGGCCCAAGUGAGAUUAGCUAGUUGGUGAGGUAAUGGCUCACCAAGGCGCCGAUCUCUAGCUGGUUUGAGAGGAUGAUCAGCCACACUGGGACUGAGACACGGCCCAGACUCCUACGGGAGGCAGCAGUGGGGAAUAUUGCACAAUGGGGGAAACCCUGAUGCAGCCAUGCCGCGUGUGUGAAGAAGGCCCUCGGGUUGUAAAGCACUUUCAGUCGUGAGGAAAGGGGUGUAGCUAAUAUCUGCAUCCUGUGACGUUAGCGACAGAAGAAGCACCGGCUAACUCCGUGCCAGCAGCCGCGGUAAUACGGAGGUGCGAGCGUUAAUCGGAAUUACUGGGCGUAAAGCGUGCGUAGCGGUUUCUUAAGCGAGAUGUGAAAUCCCGGGGCUCAACCUCGGAACUGCAUUUCGAACUGGGUGACUAGAGUACUGUAGAGGG